AGCCAUGCGAGUCAACAUAGCAAUAUGUGGCAUACGGCUCAGUAACACGUAGUCAACAUGCCCAGGGGACGUGGAUAACCUCGGGAAACUGAGGAUAAACCACGAUAGGUCAUCACUUCUGGAAUGGGUAAUGACUUAAAUCUAUAUGGCCCCUGGAUUGGACUGCGGCCGAUCAGGCUGUUGGUGAGGUAAUGGCCCACCAAACCUGUAACCGGUACGGGCUCUGAGAGGAGGAGCCCGGAGAUGGGCACUGAGACAAGGGCCCAGGCCCUAUGGGGCGCAGCAGGCGCGAAACCUCUGCAAUAGGCGAAAGCUUGACAGGGUUACUCUGAGUGAUUUCCGUUAAGGAGAUCUUUUGGCACCUCUAAAAAUGGUGCAGAAUAAGGGGUGGGCAAGUCUGGUGUCAGCCGCCGCGGUAAUACCAGCACCCCGAGUGGUCGGGACGUUUAUUGGGCCUAAAGCAUCCGUAGCCGGUUCUACAAGUCUUCCGUUAAAUCCACCUGCUUAACAGAUGGGCUGCGGAAGAUACUAUAGAGCUAGGAGGCGGGAGAGGCAAGCGGUACUCGAUGGGUAGGGGUAAAAUCCG
rnacentral:rRNA from 1 species